rnacentral:ncRNA from 1 species
ACCGGGGUAGCCGAAAACCGGAUAGAGUAGGCA